rnacentral:tRNA from 1 species
GAGGGUACAGCUCAAUGGUAGGGUGCAAGCUUAGCAGCCAUGAGGUCCCGGGUUCAAUCCCCAGUACCUCCA